GGCAUGGCUGUCGUCAGCUCGUGUCGUGAGAUGUUGGUUAAGUCCCGCAACGAGCGCAACCCCUGUCCUGAUGUUGCCAUCAUUAAGUUGGGGACUCAUCGGAGACUGCCGGUGACAAACCGGAGGAAGGUGGGGAUGACGUCAAGUCAUCAUGCCCUUUAUGUCCAGGGCUACACACGUGCUACAAUGGCCGGUACAAUGGGCUGCGAUACCGCGAGGUGGAGCGAAUCCCUUAAAGCCGGUCUCAGUUCGGAUUGGAGUCUGUAACUCGACUCCAUGAAGGCGGAAUUGCUAGUAAUCGCGAAUCAGCAACGUCGCGGUGAAUACGUUCCCGGGCCUU
rnacentral:rRNA from 1 species